GGGAGACUGAAGGGCGUGGAGGUGGAGUAUAUGAGCCAAACCCCCAGGCAGAGACAGCGGGGGAGACUGAAGGGCGUGGAGGUGGAGUAUAUGAGCCAAACCCCCAGGCAGAGACAGCGGGGGAGACUGAAGGGCGUGGAGGUGGAGUAUAUGAGCCAAACCCCCAGGCAGAGACAGCGGGGGAGACUGAAGGGCGUGGAGGUGGAGUAUAUGAGCCAAACCCCCAGGCAGAGACAGCGGGGGAGACUGAAGGGCGUGGAGGUGGAGUAUAUGAGCCAAACCCCCAGGCAGAGACAGCGGGGGAGACUGAAGGGCGUGGAGGUGGAGUAUAUGAGCCAAACCCCCAGGCAGAGACAGCGGGGGAGACUGAAGGGCGUGGAGGUGGAGUAUAUGAGCCAAACC